AUUUUAAAUUAAUUCCUAAAUCUAAUACCCAAAUUUAACCCCUCUCAAUCCGCCACCUUUCUUUCUCCUCUGCUGCCCGUCGUGCCGCCGCCGCCGCCCUGCCGUCCGCCUCGACCUCCGGCCUCAGCCACCGCGACGUCACCAACCCUCCACCAACUCCGCCAACACAGUUAGCCCGAGCGCCGCCGUUCACCGCUCCUCCACCGCGCUUCAACCCAUCGACGAACAAUCGAGCCACCGCAACCGCCCAACUCCACUCCAUCGCGCGCCUCCACCGCGACGCUUUCUGAACCGAGUCCAACCACCUCCGCCGAGCUCUACCGCCGCACCUCCACGCCACCGCCCAGACCCGCGCUCACCCAGAUCCAGCCGCGCCAACCGCCGCCGCUGGUCUUCAUCCUCCGAUAUGGUGAUAUCCCUUCAUCUUUCUUCUUCUAAUAUUUUAAAUUUUGGGAUAAUUAUUGAUCGCAAUUGAUAUUCUUGCUUGCCAACUAAUAUUGAAUUUAUUGAACCCUAGUGACUAGAAAUUUGCCAUGAAUUUUGUUUCAAUAUUUUUUUGGAUGAUAGUAAUGUUGAAGUGUUAUGCGUGUGAUUUACUAAUUCCAUUUUUGGAUAUUCUUUCUUAGAAUAGUUAUAUUGGGGUUAUGAAUUUCGUUGAAUUUGUGCGCCCCAAUUGUAACACCCUAGCCGGUUCAAACCGAAGCGUCACCGCCACGCCACACCCUAAGACUCGUUCAUCAACCAACUAGCCCUAAGUUGUGGCGCUAAGGCUAAAAUAACCCUUACAAAACAACUACUUAGAGAUUUAAAAUAAAGCGCACCGGUUUAUCAUUUAAAUAAAUAAGGUUCGAGUCAAAAGCAUAAGUUGAAAAUAGUUCAAAAGGCAUUAGUUCUUAAACCUUAAUAAUGGAUUUCAAAAAUAUUUUAGAAGAUAAUAAUUCCCCCGAUGGAUCAUAUGACGUGGAUGCAUCAUUUAGGUAUAACAAAGAUAUGAUCACCUACAAAAAGGUUGUAAGAAGAGGAUCAAUGAGUAAACGCAAUUAAUCAAAGAUAAAUUAAUACGGUAUAAUGCCACAAAAUCAUUUGAAGAAGAUAAUUUGAAUAAGAUAGACACAUAUCACAUAAGGAUAACUAACACACGAGUCUUUUAGCGUCUCCCUUAUAUCUGAUUUUUAUUCUCAAAUAAUAGCGAUGAGCACAUCACUAAGAAAACUCCUAGGCCUUAAUCAGGGCCGGCUCGAGCCGAUUUUUCAACCUUAUUACUUCGUAUGACACGUCAUAUACUUUCACAUAACAAACAUGGGGUCACAACCCUAGGAUAUUAAUGUACAUAAGGGUUCGAAAUCCAAAGUACACGUAAAUCAAUGUAUUAUUAGUUUGCGAGUGGCACCAUACGAUCCACAAUCCUCUCGUCUCCAAUAUAAGAUACCAAGAGGGAAUUGUACGCAAUCCAUCCCUCCAUCACGGAUGACGGUCUAAAGACCUUUUCAUCGUGAAUGACAAGCACCUCGUAAUCACCCAAAAAGGAACCCACCAUCUCGAUCCUUCGACCUAGCCCAUUCGGGAUCUAGUUCAAGGUUAGCUAGUUAUCCUAAAAUACCGGUAUACCCUCACGUGUUUGCAAGGCACAGAGGUGGAAGGCUAUGCCUUAUCAUCUAAACAAUCGACGAGUUGAUCGGACUCGACGGAUAGUUUCAAUACCAAUUUGACCAAAUACUCAACAUGCUCAUAGGCAAAUUUUAAAAAGAGUGUUUUAAACUCAAAAUAUUCCAAUUGUCAACAUUUAACCAUGCAAAAGUAGAAUAUUAGACCCAACAAGUUCGUUAUAAUCUCACUUUAUUUCACCAAAUAAACAUUCGAAUAAUAUGUCAAUUACAAUAGGCAUGGUCUAACUCCAAAAAUCAUAAUAUUUAAAUAUAAUCAUAAUUUUUUUCCAAAAACCAUAACUAGGUUAAGGCAAAACUAAGGUUUCAAACUCAUCCCAUAAAUUCAAUGAUUUCCAAUUUAAAAUUCAAUAAUAAUCUUCACAUAAUCCUAUGACAUUAUAAUCAACUUUCAUUAAUCCCACUUACCUUAAGAGAAGCGUCCAACAGGAAGAGUUUUGGAGAAUAAGAAUUCCAAGGAAGAAUUCCAUACGAUCCACAAUCCUCUCGUCUCCAAUAUAAGAUACCAAGAGGGAAUUGUACGCAAUCCAUCCCUCUAUCAUGGAUGACGGUCUAAAGACCUUUUCAUCUUGAAUGACAAGCACCUCGGAAUCACCCAAAAAAGAACCCACCAUCUCGAUCCUUCGACCUAGCCCAUUCGGGAUCUAGUUCAAGGUUAACUAGUUAUCCUAAAAUACCGGUAUACCCUCACGUGUUUGCAAGGCACAGAGGUGGAAGGCUAUGCCUUAUCAUCUAAACAAUCGACGAAUUGAUCGGACUCGACGGGUAGUUUCAAUUACCAAUUUGACCAAAUACUCAACAUGCUCUUAGGCAAAUUUCAAAAAGAGUGUUUUAAACUCAAAAUAUUCCAAUUGUCAACAUUUAACUAUGCAAAAGUAGAAUAUUAGACCCAACAAGUUCGUUAUAAUCUCACUUUAUUUCGCCAAAUAAACAUUCGAAUAAUAUGUCAAUCACAAUAGGCAUGGUCUAACUCCAAAAAUCAUAAUAUUUAAAUAUAAUCGUAAUUUUUUUCCAAAAACCAUAACUAGUUUAAGGCAAAACUAAGGUUUCAAACUCAUCCCAUAAAUUCAAUGAUUUCUAAUUUAAAAUUCAAUAAUAAUCUUCACAUAAUCCUAUGACAUUAUAAUCAACGUUCAUUAAUCCCACUUACCUUAAGAGAAGCGUCCAACAGGAAGAGUUUUGGAGAAGAAGAAUUCCAAGGAAGAAGAGGGGGGGCUGGUGGCUUGCGUGUCUGCUGCUCUAUUCCUUCUUUUUAUUUUAUUUUAUUUUAUUUUAUUUUAUGCUUUAUUAAACAUAAAAGACUUGGACUCAUCAUCUAUACUCUAACCUGGAUACGCUAUAUCUUAACAAACUAGGCAUACCCUAUAUUUCUUAUUAAAUCCACACUUGGAUAUGAUAUAUUUUAAGGAUAAAGAUACCUAAACCAAGAGAUAUGGAUAAACCAAAUCUAGUUUAUUAUUUAUUUUACCCUAAAUUUAAUUUUACUCAUAAUUUAAAGCCAAUUCCUUAAUUUUUUACAUCAAAAGUCCAAAAUAAAUUAGGCCCAAAAUAAUAUUGUCCAACUCCGACGUCGAACUCCGACGAACUUCCGACGAGUAUUUUUACAGGGUAUUACACCAACUGUUUUAUGUGAUGGUUGCAUUGUAUUGCUUAGCAAUUUUAUGUGAUCUCUAUGCUAAUUUAUCUCUAUUGGUUGUGAUAUAAGAGUGAUUUGAAUAUCUUGACUUUUGGGCAUGCUUGAAUUGAAAAAUGAACUUUUUUUGUUGAACCUUAUUAUGAGUGGUGUCUUUGUUGCAGUUGAUUCUUUCGUGCAUUAAUUGAGUGUUGUUUACUUCAUUGCCUUAAAUAUACUAUGUGAACGUAUUUUUUUGUGUGUGUCAACCCUUCGGUGUGGCAAUACUUUCAUGUGUUGGCUAGUUGGUUGUGUUGGCUAGUCUGUUUUAUUAUUUUCAUGCACACAUGAUGUGUAUUUCUCUUGACGAUACUUGCCAUGUCGAACAACUCUGUAUCUAUUUUGACCAACUAAUGUAAAUUCAAAUUAUGGGACUUGAUUGGAAGUGUAAUGAGUUUUGUCAUAUUUUUCAAUAAGAUGUAACAGUAUAUAAAUGUUUCAAACUUAAAAUAGGUAGUGUAGGAAAAAUGCAUUGUCCCAUUAAUUUUAUGAAACACAAAUAAAUAAGAUAUCAUUGUCGGUUAGUCAUCAUCCGGAAAAGCCAAGGAAAAUGUCCAUCUUGUUAUGUUAGAUUUUGGGUAACUUAGAUUUAUAAUAAUAUUUUAAAAUAUGAUCACGCCUUUAAAUAUAUUUAGUUGUUUAUUAGUAUUACUAAAUAUUUUGAAUUUAAUUUUUUUAAAUACAAAUAUAUUAGAUGUGAUAUUCUAAAAGUAAGUUAAAUGAUGAAUGUGUCAACAACAUUGUCUUAUGUGUGUGAACUUAUAGAUGCCUUCCAUAUUAACUUAAUAUAGAUGUUAGCGUACUUAUCUGUAAAAAAUGUUAUUCAAUCUUGAAUGGCGAUUAUAAAAUAUUGAAAUCUUUUUUUCUUGUUAUCUCAAUGUAAUCAAAAGUAUCUAAUGGUAAUGGUAGAAGGAUCAGAUAUUAUUGAUAGACUCAAUGCAUGUUGAAUUUUUUUGGUGUUCCAAGUUGCCAGGCUUUCUUACUUAAUCGGUCCUAUUAAAUGCAUUAAAUGAGUAGCAUGUAGAAAAUUCGCUGUGAAGAAACAUUGGAUCUAAAAGAACUUAAACAUAUGUGCCACUCGAUCAAAACUGAUGAAUCUUUCUUUGUUCAUCACAUACUUUCACUAUAAACAUAUUGUAUACUGUUUAUGUUUAUGUGUCAAUAUAAAGAAGGUAUUUGUUUGCUUUCUUCUCUUUUCUAUUAUAUUGUUUGUUUCAGAGUUGUGGAUUUUAUGUGUUGCUAAAAAUACAUCAAUUGGUUGCAUUGUAGUAGAGAGGAAAGCUCUUCUCAAGUUCAAGUCAAGCCUUGAUGAUCCUGCAAAUAUUACACAGCCUUCGUGGAGGGGCAUCGAUUGCUGCACAUGGGAAGGUAUUACUUGUGAUGAGAAUACAAGUAUGUUAUCCAACUUAAUCUCAUAUACAAUGUAUGAUAUGUUGUUGAGUAAUAUCUUAAGUAGUGAAAAAGCCUAGAUCCUUCUCUAUUUGAAUUAAAGUAUCAGAAUUCUUCGGACUUGAGUGGAAUGACUUUUGAUCCUGAGUUUUUAGGAUCAAUGAAGCAACUGCAUUAUCUUAAUCUCUCUUCUACCGCCUUUGGAGGAACUGUCAGCAUCUUGGCAAUCUCUCAACCUACACACCCUUGAUCUCAGCCAUAAUAAUUUUACAUCCAAUGAUAACUCAUGGCUUUGCAAUAUGUCAUCAUUGGAGAGUCUUGAUGUAAUACCCUAGUCAUUGUUAAAGUGUUUGUCACGGUCCCAAGUACCCCACUUAUACUCCCAACGAAUGCUGGAGCGAAGAUCCUCGGUUAGGUACUCGACGAAGAAAACAAGAAUUUGGUCCGUUGCCUCUUAUUGCCUUAUUUUUUAUUCUAAGUGUUGUGGUAUGGUACUGGGUUGAUCUACUUACGUACUAUUUUUUUAAUUUGGGGAUCAUAUAUUAGGUGAAUGUUAGAUUGAUGUGGGACAUGAUGGCCAUAGUUGAUAUGCUUUAAAGUACUAUUGAUGGUUAAUUUUUUUCUUUUGGAAUGUCUAUGAAUAUUUUUGGAUUGACAUUAUUUUGUCGGGUUCAUUAAGGAUUUCAGAUUAAUUAUAAUAAAGUUAUGCAUUUAA